rnacentral:rRNA from 1 species
UACAGAGGUCCCAAGCGUUGUUCGGAUUCACUGGGCGUAAAGGGUGCGUAGGCGGUCGCGUAAGUCUGAUGUGAAAUCUCACAGCUUAACUGUGAAACUGCAUUGGAUACUAUCCGGCUUGAGGAAUGGAGGGGAGACUGGAAUACUUGGUGUAGCAGUGAAAUGCGUAGAUAUCAAGUGGAACACCAGUGGCGAAGGCGAGUCUCUGGACAUUUCCUGACGCUGAGGCACGAAAGCCAGGGGAGCAAACGGG